rnacentral:misc_RNA from 1 species
CGUACGCGGUGUGCGUGUAAUGAAAAUGUGUUCGUUCGUCCGAAUCACGUAGAUGCGCGUACGCAUAUGUGGGUGUAUAUAUUUAUGUUUGGUUUACGCGUGUUUGUUUGUACACAAAUGUACGUACGGUAUGUACCGAACCUGCUCUUGGUAUAAUACAAGAGUGCGUAGAGUUAUCCGUACGUCCGUCCGUCCGUCCAUCGAUUUAUCCGAUGUAAGUGUAAUUUUACUCAUACGCACUUGUACGUACGUACGUUGGUCCGAUGUGGUAAAUACGAGGUGAGGUAUUAAUGCGCGUAUAGAAACGUGGCUAUUGCGCACAGAGGAGUUUGAGACACCGAGAAACUCACGCACGUACGCGCGAGGGUCCCGUAGCUGCUGUUGCUGCUGCUGCUGCUGCUGCUGCUGCUGUGUCACGUGUUGUUUAUGCGUUCUACACACGCUCCGCCCCAUCGCCUGAUCUCUCUAGAGAUUCUCAAGUACCGGAUCGAGAAGAAUAUUCGAAAAUAUGAACCGGUCGGAAGCUUUGGCAGAGUAUGCUCGACGCGUGAAACCUUCGACCUGCAAAGUAUGUACGGACUACGAGAGAUAUGACGAAUCGACGUCAAGUACGUUAUCAUCCCUGAGAAGAAUUCAGGGUCAAAAUCCCAGGGUCAGAAGAGCGGGAAAACCCGUCGAGGAUU